GUGAAAGUAUUGUGGAAGAAUGCUCGAAUGGAGGAGAUGACGUGGGAAGUCGAGAGCCAGAUGAGAAACCAAUAUCCACAUCUUUUAUUCGAAUCAGGUGGUGAGUCCUCCGAUAAAGGCAAGGAAAUUACAUCCAAGGACCAGCAGACAAAGUGCUUCGAAAGUCUGUAUUCUAGACAUUGUUCAGUAUAAACUGUAGAUAGCUGAUCUCAUCGAGGUCUACCGUUGGAUCUGCAUCUUUUCAAACCGUAAGUUCACAGUCCUCUUUACUUUUGUUUAUUCAGGAGCCCUUUUGUUAUUGUAAAUUAAAUUAAA